GGUGUCACUGCGUGGACGGCUACACAGGGCCCACAUGCCGCCAGGGUGGGCCCCCCCAGCUCCCUGGGAUCCCGUCCCCAGCCCUGGGCCCAGCGUCCUCACAGGCCGCCCCGCACAGACCAGCGCCCGGGCUCCGCCGCAGGGCA